rnacentral:rRNA from 3 species
GGUUGACCUCGGAUCAGGUAGGAAUACC